rnacentral:rRNA from 1 species
GACAGAGGAUGCAAGCGUUAUCCGGAGUGAUUGGGCGUAAAGCGUCUGCAUGAUGGUGCUUUUUAAGUCCGCCGUCAAAUCCCAGGGCUCAACCCUGGACAGGCGGUGGAAACUACCAAGCUGGAGUACGGUAGGGGCAGAGGGAAUUUCCGGUGGAGCGGUGAAAUGCGUAGAGAUCGGAAAGAACACCAACGGCGAAGGCACUCUGCUGGGCCGACACUGACACUGAGAGACGAAAGCUAGGGGAGCGAAUGGG